rnacentral:rRNA from 1 species
UACGUAGGCAGCGAGCGUUGUUCGGAGUUACUGGGCGUAAAGGGUGUGUAGGCGGUUCUUUAAGUUUGGUGUGAAAUCUCCCGGCUCAACCGGGAGGGUGCGCCGAAUACUGAGGAACUGGAGUACGGGAGAGGAAAGUGGAAUUCCUGGUGUAGCGGUGAAAUGCGUAGAUAUCUGGAGGAACACCGGUGGCGAAGGCGGCGUUCUGGACUGCAACUGACACUGAGGAACGAAAGCCAGGGGAGCAAACGGG